UAGCGAAACAUCCGUUGCCUUCGCAAUC
rnacentral:sRNA from 1 species